AUAAUAUUGUAAAACUCAACUCCGCCGGUAUUCAGUUGUUAUAAUAUUUUAUAAUGUGUAGGUAUUCAUUAUUUUGUUAUUUAGCGAUGUUAGUGAUAAUACGAACGUGUAACGACCAUAUUGCCAAAUGCCAAUUACCUACGUAUUGUAGUUUUGUAAAUGUUUGGAUUAUCGACUGUCGUCUAGUCGUUCGUCGAUUGAAACCGUUUGCAUAAGAAAUUGUUAUGGCUAACGGUCACAUCGAUUCCUGAAUCCAAACUUACCAAACAAAUAGGUACAUUACCAUUUUUAAUACAAAUUGACUUACAAAUAAUAGACUAUAAAAUAGUAUACUAAAAAAAAUUAAUUACUCAGUUUAUUUCUCUGAAAACAAUUCUAGUUCAAGUACUAACUGACUAAAAGUGAAUGGUGUGCCAACCUUAUACUUAUCGUAAUAAGGUGCACUGUUUGGUGAAAGAGUGAUACUUGACUGCUUGACAACCUCGUCGACAACUCUGAUUAAAUACAUUACAAAAACAAAUUACUACAAAUGUGAAACGACUCAAUAGUAUAAUAAUUAUGGAUACAGGAUAAUGAGCGAGGCACCUCCUACAUCAGUUGGUUUAUACUUAUCUGGCAUUUAUUCUCAAGCUGUCACUGAUGAGUAU